CUUUACAGAAGAUGUUCGGAUUCUCCAUCACUACCUUCAAAAAUCUGCAGAAAGUGCCUUUUGCAGCUUGGAGAACGAAGCCACAGCUCAGAAUUAUGCCCAACUUGCACAAGUUACACUCUCACAAAUCAUUGUGUUCAAUCGAAGACGUUCUGGAGAGGUUUCAAAGAUGCGCCUCAAAAGUUUUCUUGAAAGAGACAAAACGGCACUCCACACAGAUGUUUCCAUGGGGCUCUCAGAAAUGGAACAGAGACUCUGUAACUAUUUCUGUAGAAUAGAAAUAAUGGGAAAAAGGGACAGAAAUGUUCCAGUUCUGCUAACACCAAGCAUGCUGGAUGCUCUGUCACUACUGGUUAGUAGGAGGCCUGACUGUGGUAUUUGUGCCACUAAUAUCUACCUCUUUGCAAGACCCCGAUCAAUGAGUCAUUACAGAGGAAUGGACUCCUUGCGUGUUCAUGCACACCAGUGUGGAGCAAAGCACCCUGAGUAUCUAAGAUCGACACAGCUCAGAAAACAUGUUGCCACACUCUCACAAGUCCUUAAUUUGAAAAACAAUGAACUUGAUCAGGUUGCAGAUUUCCUGGGUCAUGAUAUCCGCGUUCACCGCGAAUUCUACAGAUUACCAGUUCCCACAACACAGCUGGCCAAGAUUUCCAAACUGCUUUUAACACUGGAAAAAGGACAUCUUUCCCAGAUCCAGGGGAAAUCACUGGAUGAGAUCGAAAUUGAAGAUGAAAUUGCAUUAAGUGAUGCUGAAACAAAGGACAGUGAGAGUGAAUCAGAUGAUGAUGACACAGCACUCACAAUGUCGGCGUGUGGCACCAGUGAGCCUGUACAUGCAGUAGCUGAUUCCACAAACACAGCGCAGCUCCAAGACACUGUAGAUUGUGCAGAUGAAGAACCACUCAUAAUGCCUGCAGCAAGUGAGACUGCUGCUCCCUCUGAAGAUAAAAAUGCUGCUCAAUCCCACAAUUCCCGAAGAGCUCCCAAAAACAUGUGGUCCAAGGCUGAGGUUGCUGCAGUGAUGAGGCAUUUUAAAGACCACAUAAACGAAGGGAAACUGGCCACCAAAAAUGAAUGCAGUCAUUGCAAAUUGGUAGAAGAUCCGAUGUUGGCAGGAAGAACAGUUCAAAACAUAAGAGAUUUUGUAAGAAACAGAGGAUUAACUGCAAAAAGGCAGAAAAAAAUGAACUAAAAUAACUGUUUAGCCAGAUGUGGUUUUACAUCUUGGUCAGAUGGCCAAACUGUUGUUAAAACUGAGUUAUUGUG